AGGUCGUCCACCAGGCCGGCGGGCAUGCAGAGCACCGUUCUGGUGAGAGUGGCACAGAACAGGAACGGAACUGGCAGUAUAUCCAUUUUGCAUUUAGACUAAACACACUCACAUGAAAGAAAACUAUUCUUGAGCACAACCUGCGGUUUUGGUGCGAGGUUGUGUGGGUUCUGCAAGCUCAGCACGCCUCGCCCCGGGCCCCCUGCGGCCCCUCCCCGGCCUCGGUCUGUCUCUUCCAGACGAUCAGUCAUGCUGGCGGCAUCCCCCGGCGUGUCCUGCAGCGAGUCCGGCUUUUUUCACCCACACAACGCGCUGGGGGCUCGCCUGCCCUGCUGUGUGCAUGCACGGUGUGUCUUCCGGUCACCGAGGAGAGUUCUGUCCCAGUCCACAACUACAAUUUGUUUACCCGUCCGCUCGCUGUGGGGCCUUGGAGUUGCCUCUGGUUUUUGGGGCACAUGCAUCUGGCUGCUAUAAGCUCUCAGCAAGUUGCAGAACUGUUUUCCAGAUUGGCUGGAGCACUCAGGGCAACGCGGCUCAAGGGCAGCGACUUGAAAGGCUAACGUCUGAAGCGGCUGGCUGGUCGCCUCGAACCUCCGCAGGGGCAGGGAAAGACAGGGGUUAAAGAAGCAAACUCCUGAAGGUCAGAGACCUUAUUCCAUGAUUGAGAACACCACGGCAGGGGCCACAUUGUUCCCUCGGGUUGUUUGUCUCCCCUUUUGAGACCUCGCGAAGCCACCCUGAGGAAGAGCAGAACCUUCAAAUACGUGUCAGACCCGAAGAGCGCCACUGACCCAGAAAGUUCACCUUAAAAAGACUAACGAGGUCAUCAGGACUGUAUUGAUGGAAUAAACAAAUGGAUCCGCAUUUACAAUAAAAAGCAAAACCAAACAACCGUGGAUGAAACCCUUGGUUACAAAACUGAGCGUUGCUAAACCCACCCCAUGGUCGGGACAGAAGUUGGAAAUGUGUGGGUGUGUUCUCAAGGUCUUAGAAAAAUUCAGGAAGUCCAGCAGAUGUUUUUUGUUAAGAGGCACUGGAAGCCCCAAGAGCUACAUCUUUUUUUUUUUCUUCUUAAAAUAUAAGUGUAUUUGUGAGACUGUUUUUCCUCUUAAGUAGUUCUCUGCUAAAACUUACAAAGCGGAAUGCUGGCCAAAGUGUGGAACUCAUCAGGCUUCAGGGGGCAACUCAGAGUGUGUGCUCGUGAACGUGAGAAUCCCUAUAGGAGGCAGAGAUCCAGGUCAAUCAUCUGAAACAUUUCAUUUUUUGAAGAGCCCUUUUCCCUGAUUUAUUGAAGGAGAAUGAGGACGUUUUCUUUAAUCUAAUCGAUCAUAAGUAGCAUUGUGCACAUUCAGAGGUGACUAUUUUCCUCCUUUGUAAGAUGAUAGAAUAGGUCAUAAUGAUAAUUACGCUGUUGUGUGUGUGUGUUUAUGAUAUAAACGAGGAUCAUAUUCAAGGACCCAGAAAUCAAGUUAGUGGAGAAUAUCUAAAACAUGGGGAUUUUCUGCUCUCUAGUUAUAAUUUUGAACAUAAGCUUGAACACCUAUGAAAUGAUACUUCUCUUACUGUCCUUGGUUUGUAAUCGACGUUGGGCUAGAAAAACUGCUCCACACCUCUUCUCCCAGUUCCAUUUUGUAGGAUAUGGGCAGCAAAGGGAUGGAAGUUUCCUUUUGACCAAACCUUCAAAAGCCACAGAGCAAAUUAAUGUCCAGAAAACAUCUAACAUCUUAUUUCAAUCUCUCGUCCGCUCGGGAAUUUUCCCACUUUGGUUGCUCAUGUGACUUGGUCUCCCAAGUGUCUAUAAAAGAUUAGGUUGUACAACGCACAUGCACCACAUGGAUGAAUUAGAAUGGCAGCCACCACCCUGGCGGGCUGGUUAAUGAGGCUGCAGGGCCAGCCGGCUCGCAGACCCUACUAAAGGUUAGAAAUGCAGCUGGCUGGGGGCGCCUGGGUGGCUCAGUUGGUUAAGCAACUGCCUUCGGCUCAGGUCAUGAUCCUGGAGUCCCUGGAUCGAGUCC